rnacentral:rRNA from 1 species
UCUGGGACAAGCCCUGGAAACGGGGUCUAAUACCGGAUACGACACACGGAGGCAUCUCCUGUGUGUGGAAAGCUCCGGCGGUGAAGGAUGAGCCCGCGGCCUAUCAGCUUGUUGGUGGGGUGAUGGCCUACCAAGGCGACGACGGGUAGCCGGCCUGAGAGGGCGACCGGCCACACUGGGACUGAGACACGGCCCAGACUCCUACGGGAGGCAGCAGUGGGGAAUAUUGCACAAUGGGCGAAAGCCUGAUGCAGCGACGCCGCGUGAGGGAUGACGGCCUUCGGGUUGUAAACCUCUUUCAGCAGGGAAGAAGCGAAAGUGACGGUACCUGCAGAAGAAGCGCCGGCUAACUACGUGCCAGCAGCCGCGGUAAUACGUAGGGCGCAAGCGUUGUCCGGAAUUAUUGGGCGUAAAGAGCUCGUAGGCGGCUUGUCACGUCGGUUGUGAAAGCCCGGGGCUUAACCCCGGGUCUGCAGUCGAUACGGGCAGGCUAGAGUUCGGUAGGGGAGAUCGGAAUUCCUGGUGUAGCGGUGAAAUGCGCAGAUAUCAGGAGGAACACCGGUGGCGAAGGCGGAUCUCUGGGCCGAUACUGACGCUGAGGAGCGAAAGCGUGGGGAGCGAACAGGAUUAGAUACCCUGGUAGUCCACGCCGUAAACGGUGGGCACUAG